UGUGUAGGCGGACUUCUAAGUACCUUGUGAAAUCCCACGGCUUACCCGUGGAACUGCUGGGUAUACUGGUCGUCUUGAGCCUUCUAGGGGCUACCGGAACAAAUGGUGGAGCGGUGAAAUGCGUAGAUAUCAUUUGGAACGCCAAUGGUGAAAACAGGUAGCUGGGGAAGUGCUGACGCUGAGACACGAAAGCCAGGGGAGCGAACGGGAUUAGAUACCCCGGUAGUCCUGGCCGUAAACGAUGUCGACUAGAUCGUGGUGGCUCUGACGCCUUCACGGUCGAAGCAAAAGUGCUAAGUCGACCGCCUGGGAAGUACGGUCGCAAGGCUAAA
rnacentral:rRNA from 1 species